rnacentral:rRNA from 1 species
AAAAACAUAGCCUUUAGCCAAACAAGUAUUAAAGGUCUAGCCUGCCCAGUGAACUAUUUCAACGGCCGCGGUAUCCUAACCGUGCAAAGGUAGCGUAAUCAUUUGUCCUCUAAAUAGGGACUUGUAUGAACGGCUAACUGAGGGCCCAACUGUCUCCUUAGACCAAUCAAUGAAACUGAUCUUUCAGUACAAAAGCUGAGAUAAACACAUAAGACGAGAAGACCCUGUGGAGCUUAAAACUCAUACUAUAAACCCCCAUCCAACCCUAAAGGGAAACCCCCCGCCUAUAGUAUAAAGUUUUUAGUUGGGGCNACUUUGGAAUAAAACAACACUUCCAUGCCAGGGACCCCUCCCUAAAAAGGCCGACAUGCCAAAAUAAUACUCAUUGACCCAGCCUGUCUGAUCAACGAACCAAGUUACCCCAGGGAUAACAGCGCCAUCCUCUUCAAGAGUUCCUAUCGACAAGAGGGUUUACGACCUCGAUGUUGGAUCAGGACACCCCGGUGGUGCAGCCGCUACCAAAGGUUCGUUUGUUCAACGAUUAAUAGU